rnacentral:tRNA from 1 species
AUGUUGUUAGUAUAAUUUAUUAUGCUAUUUUUCCAAAGUGGUGAUCUAUUUUUAGGCAGCAUA